AAAAACCUAAAUCUCUCACCCCCCACGUCUCUUUUCUUUCCAUCUGUCUACCGCGCGCGCUCGCCGCUACCUGCCCGCCGCCAUCGCCCCGUCCCGCGCGCGCCCUGCUGCCCCACCGCGCGCCGGCUCGCGCGCCGCCCAGCACGCCGCCACCCCGCGCGCGCCCCGCCGCCUCGCCGCCCCACCGCACGCCUGCUAGCGCGCUGCCCAGCACGCGGCCCGCCCUCGCCACCCUAACCGCCGCCGCAGCCGCCGCCCGAUGUGCCCUCAUGCACGAGACCUCUCGAACCCUCUCAGAAGGCGGUGCGAUCCGGUUUGGGUCGCCAUGCCGAGCCCGAUGUGCCCGACGCGUGCGCGGCUGAGUCGAAGCCGAAACUAGCGCAUGGAGAUGACGACGAUAGGCCGCCCCUUGAGGAGAAGCGCCGCUGCAGCGGUGAGGGCGGAUUCGUCUUCCUCUGCGCCCUUGCUGGACACACCGAGGCUAUCGGUGGGAUUUCUCUGCCGUCUGGUUCGAACAAGCUCUACUCCGGCAGCGUCGACGGAUCUGUUCGCAUCUGGGACUGCAAUUCCAGCAAGCACAAAUAAGCUUGGAUUCACACCAGAGUUUCUAGGGCGUGUGAAGCUUGUAACCUCCUUUGCAUCCCUGCUCGGUGUUGGGCUCUACAACUAUUUUCUGAAGGAAGUUCCUCUAAGGAAAAUAUUUCUCGUGACAACCAUUAUAGGUGCUUCUUGUAACUGUAUUAAAUCGAAAGUUUGGGAUUAGUGACGAGUGGUUUUCUAUUGGUGAUUCAUUAAUCAUCACAGUCCUUGGUCAGCACAAAUAAGCUUGGAUUCACACCAGAGUUUCUAGGGCGUGUGAAGCUUGUAACCUCCUUUGCAUCCCUGCUCGGUGUUGGGCUCUACAACUAUUUUCUGAAGGAAGUUCCUCUAAGGAAAAUAUUUCUCGUGACAACCAUUAUAGGUUCAGCUCUUGGGAUGACACAGGUGCUUCUUGUAACUGGAUUAAAUCGGAAGUUUGGGAUUAGCGACGAGUGGUUUUCUAUUGGUGAUUCAUUAAUCAUCACAGUCCUUGGUCAGGCUUCAUUUAUGCCAGUCUUGGUGUUAGCUGCAAAACUGUGCCCUCCAGGAAUGGAAGCCACUUUAUUUGCAACUUUGAUGUCCAUUUCUAAUGCUGGAAGUGUUACUGGUGGUUUGGUUGGUGCUGGUCUAACUCGGAUAUUUGGGGUCACCAGGGACACCUUUGGGAACCUACCUCUAUUGAUUGUCAUCUGCAAUCUUAGUUCGCUGCUGCCCUUACCUCUUUUAGGUCUCCUGCUAGAGGAAUCAGGUGACACAGACAAUGGAGAAACAAAGAAUAUCUGACUUGCUGAGGGUUUCAUCUCUGUUUGUUCUGAUUCUCAAGUAUAGCAUACCAUAGUGCGCAGCUUCAACUCAGAUAUGAUCCAUCCAGUUGAAGUUCAAAAGAUCAGUGGGGAAAUAUGGAAAUCAUACUGGAGAUAAGUUCAGUUAGUCACCACCACCAUCAGCCAGUAUCUCCUGCGACUAUUAACCUGUGAUCAAAGCGAUUCAUUGGUGAUCUAUGAUGGCGCACAGGAUUCUGGCUCUCAUCAAGUGACUCCUCCCCCUCACGCUGACUUUGCGGACAGAUGUCUCAAUUCUAGUGGUGGAGCUACAAACAACAAUCCGAUGUCCUGAUCGAGAGCGAUGGAGCUAAUGUUUGAAAUUGUGUGUUUGAACUUGUGAACUACAAAUGUGAACUAUGGAUGUGAACUUGUGUGAAUUUGUGAACUUAUGUAUUUGGAUUUAUGUGAAUUUGUGAACUUAUAUAUUUGGACUUGUGUGAAUUUGUGAUAUGAACAUAUAUCAAUGUGUUUGAAAUCUUUAUUGUAUGUGAUAUUCUGUGUUGCAUGUGAUAUUAUGUGUGUCUAAUUUU